rnacentral:rRNA from 1 species
UACAGAGGGUGCGAGCGUUAAUCGGAAUCACUGGGCUUAAAGCGUGUGUAGGCGGACCCGUCAGUGUCUUGUGAAAUCCCACGGCUCAACCGUGGAACGGCUGGGCAUACUGCGGGUCUUGAGACACCUAGGGGCGAGCGGAACAGGCGGUGGAGCGGUGAAAUGCGUAGAUAUCGCCUGGAACGCCGACGGUGAAAACAGCUCGCUGGGGGUGUUCUGACGCUGAGACACGAAAGCCAGGGGAGCGAACGGG